CCUACGGGUGGCUGCAGUGAGGAAUAUUGGUCAAUGGUCGGGAGACUGAACCAGCCAAGCCGCGUGAGGGAUGAAGGUACAGAGUAUCGUAAACCUCUUUUGUCAGGGAACAACGGCGGGGACGUGUCCCCGGAUGAGUGUACCUGAAGAAAAAGCAUCGGCGAACUCCGUGCCCGCAGCCGCGGUAAUAGGGAGGAUUCGAGGGUGAUCCGGGUUUUGUGGGUUUGAAGGGUGCGCAGGCGGUCUGUUAAGUAAGCGGUAAAAGCCCGGGGCUCAACCCCGGCCCGCCGGUGAAACUGGCAGUCUCGAGUUGGAGAGAAGUAUGCGGAAUGCGCGGUGGAGCGGUCAAAUGCAUAGAUAUCGCGCAGAACUCCGAUUGCGAAGGCAGCAUGCCGGCUCCACACUGACGCUGAGGCACGAAAGCGUGGGUAUCGAACAGGAUUAGAUACCCCUGUAGUC
rnacentral:rRNA from 1 species